rnacentral:lncRNA from 1 species
CACUGAAGCAAUGCAAGUAUGUCUCAGCAUCAGCCAGGCACUCCGUGAUCAAUGAAAGAAGACCCUAAAGGCAGACUAGACUACUAGUCUCCUUCACUGGUGUGAAUCACAUCUACUUUAGGCUCUAUGGAGAUUUCCGUCAGAAUGACCUCGCUCAGCUCAGACUCAGACUCUGCAGCUCUGGUUGUCCUGGAAACAUGGCUCUGUAGUCUGAGAGUGAACUCCUGGUCCUGUCUCACCUCUUGAAUGCUUGAUAGUACAAUAUAAACUACCAUGUCUAGGUAUUGUUUUAAUUUACAAAACUUGUGUUUGGAGGACCCGGACUCAGGACUAGAACAUGCACUGUCCUGGCUACCACAUGACAAGCUGGAACUAGAUUCCUCAGUAUGAUCUGCUUUUGUAAGACCUCCUCCCACUAAGGCUGCUGGUUUUGUCUGCUGUGUGCUAUCGUGAUAAAACUCUGAUGGUUCUGUAUCACAGUUCAUCUCUGAAGGAAGCCAGGAUAGGAAUCGAUGUGAUGGUGGUUAAUAGAAGAGCCAUGCUCUGGAAGAACAGGUUUCUAAAAGAACACUUUCUGGGCUACAGGACUAGCCCCCACCUCGAAGCAGGAGGCAUCCUGUUGAUACUCGAGAUAAGAAGUGACAGAGAAACAGAAUUGCAGAGGCAAACUCAAUGGGAGAAGCAAACCCAGGGGUGACUGAGGACUGGAACUUUUGUUUAUCCCAAGUCACCUGUGAUCUUGGAAUGCUAAAUAUUGACAGACAACUAAGAACUGUAUCUGAAAGACUGGCUGUGCUACAGUAAAGCUGCCAGGCUUUAAUGGAGAAAGGGUUUUGUCGUCUGAUCCUUCAAGAAACUAGAGAAUCCUUCUCAAGAGAAAAUAAACUGUCCGUAAGGCCAGUUCAGAAACACCACCCUGCCCCAACAUUGUGUCUUGGGAUUGCCUAUAAAGAAAUGAUUUGUGUGGAAACCUCCGGCCAUUGACACUAUGCUCUGAGCCAGCGGAGCCAUUGCUGUGGCCCCAGUGAAACUCCACCUUCUCAGCUUUGAAUCUGCCCGGCAGUCCGGCACCACUCACAAAAUAA